GACAGAGGGUGCAAACGUUGCUCGGAAUCACUGGGCGUAAAGCGCACGUAGGCGGCUUUUUAAGUCAGGGGUGAAAUCCUGGAGCUCAACUCCAGAACUGCCUUUGAUACUGAGAAGCUCGAGUCCGGGAGAGGUGAGUGGAACUGCGAGUGUAGAGGUGAAAUUCGUAGAUAUUCGCAAGAACACCAGUGGCGAAGGCGGCUCACUGGCCCGGUACUGACGCUGAGGUGCGAAAGCGUGGGGAGCAAACAGG
rnacentral:rRNA from 1 species